CCGAGCCCCGGAAGGGACAUGUCCGUAUGGCGAAGCGACAAUGAAGGACACUCACCCGGACGAGAAUUUUAUUGAGUUUUAUUUUGAAAUCGGCCUGAAAUACAAAGACAUUCAAGCAGUGCGAUGCGCUAAGAGUCUGCCAUGCAGACCAGCGAUCCUGAUACUGUUGUCGGCCUUGGAUGAUGAGGUCCAGUUACCAGGAGCACUAGUCUGCAGCUUACUGGUUCCGUCCUGCAGCUCCUCCACACUGUCCUCCUCUCUACAGACCAAAUCAAGAAAAGGGAACCAGGAAGCUGCUGUGGAUCCUCUGCAGUAUCUGGAGAGGUCAGAGGAACGGUUCUUGGAACAGAUCGGAAGACACCAAGACGUGACCUCUGCCAUGCUCCAGAACAUCCAGAAGAUGAAUCCAGAAAAUGAAAACCUUGGUUGCACUGAUGGGACGCAUGGUGUCGGUGCUGGAGCAACUGUCCCAGAAUUAAACUGCAUUGUUGGCUAUUGGCUUUUCUAGAAAAUAAAUCUUUUUUUAGUACUUCACCUGUUUUGUAUUUUACCCAUGCACUUUGGGUGAAUAAACAGAAAUUUGUGAUGAGAGAUGCAAA